UACGAGGCACCAUUGCCGUUGGCGUGGCUAUAAAUGGUCUAAAAUAGUAACAGAACGAUUGCGAAUGCACGCGAGCACUACUUCGCGAAGGGAUCGCCAUCGGGCGGCCAAGCCGGGAGUUAGCGGUCGUGGCGCUUUCUUACGGCCAACUAUGGAAAUACCGAUAGAGAUAGAGAACGCGUAAAACACGAAAGUAGAGCAAACAUCGACGGCCGGUUUCUCGGUAGCUUUAGCUGUUUCGUGGAAAAGUGUACAGGUAGUUAUUCAACGACAAGGGAGGAUACGUGUGGAUGCAUAUACGUAUGGAGCUGGACAACAAGGUAAUUUAACGGCGUCAGUUUAACUCCGUAACACGAUUCUGACGCUGCAUCAGUUACAGACCCGAAUGCAGUUUACUGAUUCAGAACUCGGCGGAGGCUGCCUGGGUUCAGAUGGUAGCCGCAAUUAAAUACAGGAGAAUAUUUGCACGUUGCUAACAGACCAAAGGAGACUAAAGACGCGAGGAUUAAGGGAUGCUUGAAAAGCCCUGAAGUUUCUUCAAGGACCCCCAACAUGCACUAUGAGAAAACGAUAUACUAUCAAGACUCAAGACGUUCAUCCAGACCUCAUCUCUGAUUAGCUAUCUAGACACCGUUCAGUCGGCAAUACGUCUUUGGAUGUAUUCAUUAAUCCAAAGGUGGCAGCAAACAUUGAUAUCCAUGCCGGCGCUGCUUCUGGCAGUGAUGGUUGGUAUGCCAGCUACUGAAAUUCACCUACGGUUGGCAGAAGGCUACGUACUCUGCUAAUGAAGUAGCCAACAUGAAUACUGACCCCAAUAGAGAGCCGUAGCUUGAACGCCGAUAAGCCUUCGCCUUACUGCGACUGAACGUGACCAGCUGAAAGGCAGCCGUGACGUUCGCUUCUUUUAAAUUAACCGCUUAACUUUUCGUUUAAUCUCUCGUCUAUAGCUGCAAACCUUAUUUUCAUUAUUUUUCUUUUUUUUUUUUUCAUUGAAUAUUCUACCCUCUAAAAUAGCCAGAGACAGGUAUAACGAUCGGCGGGGCUUUUGCAAAUUAAUUUGAAUAGCUUAAGACGCAAGUACGGCUGGCGUGACUGUGGCGGGAAAUUUGAAUGGUCUAUUUCGGUCUAGGUGUUACGAUGGUCCCACCUCGCUUGCGUAAGUGACGAAGCGUACAAACACCGCAAAGGGAUGUUCCCUCUAUCUCAAAUCCCUAUUAUUAAUUCUUGCAGGACUCAUAUCCCGGAACGUGAUCCACCCCCCCUGUGUCCGGUCCGGACUGUCGUUUCUCUGUUUGCCAAUUUCAAUGCAAAUACAGAAGAGCUUUCUGCUUCUGCAAACGUAUCACCUCUCUAACCCCUUGGUCUGGCUUGAACGCCAAAUGUUUACCAUCCCCUGAGACGACGACUGGGACUCCGCCGGUGAGCUAUGAAUAUGGUCCUGUUUAGUUUCCACGAGACUUUUUUAUUUUGUUUAUCAAGAAAUAUUCAAUACAAAUUCUAGUCUACCUCAGGAUUCCCUAGAACAAGGAUACGCCUGAUAUACACCUAGGGAUAUACGUGGACCGAUCGCUACAGCAUCUCAUGGGAAUCCCUGUGUAUGGGUAUCAAGGAAAUAAAAGAUGAGAUUCUUUAUCGGGACUUGGAUAGGCUUCGAUUUUCAGAUCGCUCCAUCAGCUUUAUCGCGAUUUUCGAAACGUGUUAGCAAUUUCUGGUAACGUAUCUGCAUGAUAAUAGAACGGCGUUAGAGUGGUAUUACGUGUACGUAGGUACAGAGGGAGAGAAAAAAAAAAACAUUCGACGCGAAACAUUGAUUCUACGCGUAAAAAAAAAAUCAAGCAACUUUGCACUUUUAUUUUGCCGAAAGUGGGGAAGUGCGUGGAUAUUUAUUUAUUCGAAGGAUAUUGCUGUAUCCAUUAACCGUUGAUACUAUUAUGAAAGUUUCCAGUUUCAUUUCAAUAUCAAUAUCUCUCUAAUGAGAUGUGAACUUAACAUAAGUGUAUAUUUUAUUCAUCAAUGACUCCGGUACAUUAGCGAACGAUAAACUUUCCACAAACAUCAAUUUUCCAUAUAGCCUCAA